rfam:Turicibacter sp. H121, complete genome.
GUUUCCCUAGAUUGUGCGUAAGGUGAUUAGUUGUUGAAUCCGAACAUUUCUGAUAAGGGAAUCUGGUGUUCUAAUACGGUGUUGAAUGCCCAACAUUGUUGGGACUCCUAAUGUAUUAGACAGGAUACCCACCUGCUACCAAGCGGGUUUUUAUCCUAACACCUACGGCAAUUUGGGCAAUUA